rnacentral:lncRNA from 1 species
CCAGCCUGAAGUCGCCCGAGGGCAGGGCCGACCUCACCGAGCCGGGAAUGGCGUCUCAGGGGCACUGCUUGGAUGCACACAGAAUAUUCUUGCUCACAGAAUAACUCAGUUGAAGCCCUGAGCAUGUAAAAGGAGGCCUCUCUUAGCAGCUGGGAAGAGAGAGUGGAGAGAAAGAGGGAUCAGGACAGAUGUGGACACGGCAGAAGAAGAGGAGCCUGCUGUGACGGACUUCCUUGAAAUGACAAACAAGUAAAUAUUUAAGGGAAUAAGUAAAACCAAAAGAAGGACUCAUGGGUUGGAAGAAUGGAAGGAGAAGGAAAAGGCAGAUGGGAUAGGGAUAGACAUUGAAGAUUGC